rnacentral:tRNA from 1 species
GGUUCCGUAGCUCAACUGAAUAGAGCAUUUGACUACGGAUCAAAAGGUUGUGGGUUUGAAUCCCGCCGGAAUCA